UCCCUCACAUUUCCCCUCACAUUUCCCACCAUUUUGUCUGCUCGUGUUUCCCGACCUUUCCCCCUCAUGCCAGCCACCAUUUUGUCCCCUCAGGUUUCCCGCCCUUUCCCCCUCACGUUUCCCGCCUUUUUCCCCCCUCACGACUGCCGCCAUUUUGUCUCCUCACAUUUCCCGCCUUUUUCCCCUCACGAUUGCCACUGUUUUGUCCCCUCGUGUUUCUCACCCUUUUCCCCACGUUUCCCCUCACACUUCCCACCAUUUUCCCCUCGCAUUUCCCACUCUUUCCAUUUCACAUUUCCCCUUGCAUUUCCCACCCUCUUCCCCCGUUUCCUGCCCUUUACCCCUCAUGCCAGCCGCCCUUUUCUCCCCUCACAUUUCCCAUUAUUUUCCCUCACAUUUUCCCCUCAGGUUUCCCAUAUUUUCCUCUCAAGUUUCCCACCCUUUCCUCUCACGUUUCUCGUCCUUCCUCCCUCACAUUUUCCCUCACAUUUCCCACCAUUUUGUCCCCUCGCAUUUCCCGCCCUUUCCCCCUCAUGCCAGCCGCCAUUUUGUCCCCUCACGUUUCCUUUUUCUCCUCACGAUUGCCACCCUUUCCCUCUCACAUUUCCCACCAUUUUGUCCCCUUACAUUUCCCUCCCUUUCCCCUCACGCCAGCCACCACUUUGUCCCCUCACAUUUCCCGCCCUUUCCUCUCACAUUCCCCACCAUUUUCCCCUCAUAUUUCCCCCUCACAUUUCCCACCAUUUUGUCCCCUCACGUUUCCUGCCCUUUUCCCCUCAUUUUGUCCCCUCACGUUUCCCGCCCUUUUCCCCUCACGCCGGCCGCCAUUUUGUCCCCUCACGUUUCCUGCCUUUUUUCCCUCACGUACCCCUCACGUUUCCCCUCACAUUUCCCGCCCUUUCCCCUCACGCCGGCCGCCAUUUUGUCUCCUCACAUUUCCCGCCCUUUCCCCUCACGCUGGCCGCCAUUUUCCCCCGUCCCUCACCUGGGCUCUGGGGGCUCCAGUCCAGCGCGAACCCUUCGUCCAGGUGCCCGCUGAAGGAGGCGAGCUCGGGCAGAGCUCCCUGCUGCACGCUCCUCUGCCCCCUCCUGGAAUCCCCCUCCCCAAAUUGCCCCUCCAGGACCGCCAGGGCCCUCCCCAGUUCCAGCACCUCCACCUGGCCCCGCUCCGACCACACGGCCGCCACCGGGGACCCCCCGAGGGACGUCACCUGUGGGGGGACACGGAAAAUCCGGGGGGUCACCGGGGUUUGGGACCCCCAAAAGGGGCGAAGGAAGGUGAGGGAGGGAUUUUGGGAGGUCCUGGGAGGGACUCGAGGGAAGAUCUGGGGUUUUUGGGGGGGUCCCAGGGUGAUUUUUGGGGUUCCCAGAGGAAUUUUGAGGGUCCCAAGGAAAUUUUGGAGGGUCCCAGGGUUAGCUGGGGAGUCCCAGAAAGUUUUUGGUGUUCCUAGGCUGAUUUUUGGUGACUUUUAUUCUUCCCAAGGUGGUUUUUGUUGAUCCCAGAGUAAUUUUUGGUGUUCCCAGGAUGAUUUUUGGUCAUUUUUGUUGUUCCCAGGGUGAUUUCUGGUGUUCCCAGAGCAAUUUUUGGUGUUCCCAGGAUGAUUUUUUGUGUUCCCAGGAUGUUUUUUGGGGUCCCAGGGUGAUUUUUGUUGUUCCCAGGAUGUUUUUUGUGUUCCCAGGAUGAUUUUUUGUGUUCCCAGGAUGUUUUUUGGGGUCCCAGGUGAUUGUUGUUCCAGGGUUGUUUUUUGGGGGAGGGCUCCGUACCCGCAGCCUGUUGUUCCCAGUGUAGUUGGGGGGCCAUGAGGAGCAGCAGCUGCGGCUCCCGCUCUUCCUCAUCCUCCUCAUCCUCCUCAUCCUCCUCCUCCUCCUCGCUCUCGCUGUCCUUCCCCCGCCGCAGCCCGUGCAGGUUCUGCAUCCGCAUCAGCAGCACCCUGAAACCCCCCCAAAAAAAUCAACCCCCAAAACCCCCGGGGGGGACCCCAAAACCUCCCAGAGGAGGAAGCCAAAAUUUGGGGGGGUCAGGGAGGGUCCUGAGGGUGAUUUGGGGAGGUUUUGGGGGGUCUGGGAGAGGUUGGGAGCUGUUUGGGGGGGUCCUGAGUGAGUUUGGGGGUCUGGAUGGAUUUGGGGAGGGGUCCUGGGGG
ensembl:lncRNA